rnacentral:snRNA from 1 species
AGCUUUGCACAGUGGUGGUAUCAUAGCCAAUGAGGUUCAUCUGAGGUGUGAUUAUUGCACAUUGAAAACUUUUCCCAAUAGUGAUGACGUGGAAUUUAGUCAGCAUUGGCAAUUUUUGACUCUCUAUGGAACCUGAGA